rnacentral:rRNA from 1 species
AUUGAACGCUGGCGGCAUGCCUUACACAUGCAAGUCGAACGGUAACGGGCCUUCGGGUGCCGACGCGUGGCGAACGGGUGAGUAAUACACCGGAACGUGCCCGAUCGUGGGGGAUAACGAGGCGAAAGCUUUGCUAAUACCGCAUACGAUCUACGGAUGAAAGCAGGGGACCGCAAGGCCUUGCGCGGACGGAGCGGCCGAUGGCAGAUUAGGUAGUUGGUGGGAUAAAAGUUUACCAAGCCGACGAUCUGUAGCUGGUCUGAGAGGAUGAUCAGCCACACUGGGACUGGGACACGGCCCAGACUCCUACGGGAGGCAGCAGUGGGGAAUUUUGGACAAUGGGCGCAAGCCUGAUCCAGCCAUGCCGCGUGCAGGAUGAAGGCCUUCGGGUUGUAAACUGCUUUUGUACGGAACGAAAAGCCUUCUUUUAAUACAGGAGGGUCAUGACGGUACCGUAAGAAUAAGCACCGGCUAACUACGUG